GCUGGGUGUAGUGGCUCACACCUGUAGUCCCAGCUACUUGGAAGGUGGGAGGAUCACUUGAGUCCAGGAGUUCAAGACCAGCCUGGGCAACAUAGUGAAACUCAGU
rnacentral:sRNA from 1 species